AUUGAACGCUAGCGGGAUGCUUUACACAUGCAAGUCGAACGGAGUGGCGGACGGGUGAGUAAUAAAUCGGAACGUGCCCAGUAGCGGGGGAUAACUACUAGAAAGAGUGGCUAAUACCGCAACCUAUGGGGUCGGCUGAUAUGGGAUUAGCUAGUGGGUUGGGUAACGGCACAACAAGGCAACGAUCAGUAGCUGGUGGGAGAGGACGACCAGCCACACUGGGACUUAGACACGGCCCAGACUCCUACGGGAGGCAGCAGUGGGGAAUUUUGGACAAUGGGGGAAACCCUGAUACAGCCAGCCCGCGUGUAUGAUGAAGGCCUUCGGGUUGUAAAGUACUUUUGGCAGAGAAGCGGUAUCUGCAGAAUAAGCACCGGCUAACUACGUGCCAGCCGCCGCGGUAAUAC
rnacentral:rRNA from 1 species